AGGACCCGUUAUUAACAUCUACUGGAAAAGAUGAGCAGACAGGAUGGGGGAAAGUGUGGGAAACCCUCACAAUAUGCUGCUGCUUUAAAAAAAAAUAUCAGCCUGUCAAUGAACAGCAAGAAACAUCUGGGCAGGUGCUGUUAACAUCUGGCACAGGAACACCUUAAACCCCACACAAAGCCAUUAACAUCUGGCCUAGGAGCAUAUCAUCAUCAGGCCCUGGAAAACCUCCAUCACCCCCCUCAAAGCCAAUACCAUCUGGCCCAGGAGCAAAUUAACAUCAUGCCCUGGAAAACCUCCAUCUCCAUACAAAGCCAAUAACAUCUGGCCCAGGAGCAAAUUAACAUCAGGCCCUGGAAAACCUCCAUCUCCACAUAAAGCCAAUAACAUCUGGCCCAGGAGCAAAUUAACAUCAUGCCCUGGAAAACUUCCAUUUCUACACAAAGCCAAUAACAUCUGGCCCAGGAGUUAAUUAACAUCAGGCCCUGGAAAACCUCCAUCUCCACACAAAGCCAAUAACAUCAGGCCCAGGAGUUAUUAACAUCAUGCCCUGGAAAACCUCCAUCUCCACACAAAGCCAAUAACAUCAGGCCCAGGAGUUAUUAACAUCAUGCCCUGGAAAACCUCCAUCUCCACACAAAGCCAAUAACAUCUGGCCCAGGAGCAAAUUAACAUCAGGCCCUGGAAAACCUCCAUCUCCACACAAAGCCAAUAACAUCAGGCCCAGGAGCUAUUAACAUCAUGCCCUGGAAAACCUCCAUCUCCACACAAAGCCAAUAAAAUCUGGCCCAGGAGCUAAUUAACAUCAGGCCCUGGAAAACCUCCAUCUCCACACAAAGCCAAUAACAUCAGGCCCAGGAGCUAUUAACAUCAGGCCCUGGAAAACCUCCAUCUCCACACAAAGCCAAUAACAUCUGGCCCAGGAGCUAAUUGACAUCAGGCCCUGGAAAACCUCCAUCACCCCCCCCCCUCAAAGCCAAUAACAUCUGGCCCAGGAGCUAAUUAACAUCAGGCCCUGGAAAACUUUCAUCCCCCUCAUCUAUGCCAACACCUUCUGGCCCAGGAGCUUACUACCAUCUAGCCCCGGAAGACCUUCAUCUUCCUCAUCAAUGCCAACCAUAAAAGGCACAGAAGCUCCAAAAGCAUUAAUCAUUGCACAACCUUUGAAUAGCAAUAUUGAGAAAGACAGCAACAGAAGUUUCAUGAAAGUGGAAAGAAAGUACUAGAUGGAAGAGAAUCUGGAAGUCCAUCAAUACAAGUUGCUGUUGCUGCAUAAAACAAGAGCAGUUGGGGGAAUGUCUGACAGGAACCAUCACCAUGACGACUAUUUUGCCAGCUCUUGGUGAGCACAUUGCACUUCACUGAAUAUCACAGCAAUCACCAACCACCAGCGCUUGACUCCUGUACUACUGUAAAUGGCGCCUGAUGAUGAUGUCAUUGUGUUCCUGCUGUAACUCAGCUGUGAUGUCAAACAGGAUCCAUGAAGGAGACCUGGAUUCUGCACAGCAUGUUGUGUGUGAGCAGAGAAAGCAAUUACAGAGCGGCAGCCCCCUGCAAGGCGCAAUAAAACGUUAUUUAUAAACGUGUUUAGCACAGAAGCCUAUUUCACCCUCAGCCUCAUGUGGAACCUUUUCUGAAGAAGACUUCUGUCAGCAACAUGAGAACUUACUGCCCUCUAAAGCCUCUAGUGAUUUAAAUGAAUGUUACAGUAAUUUGUAUAACUAUCAACAAUGAAUCACUGUAUCACAUAAGAUCUAAAUAUAAAAUAAAUGUUUUAAAAGCA